GGAGAGGCAGCGGCGAGCCAGAGCGUGAGGUUCAUAGCUCCCGCUAGGGCAGCACGCGGACGUGGGCGCGAGCGCGGCGAGAGAAGGCCGCUGAGGGGCGGGCUCCGGACCUCGGGUUUCGGCCCUCCUCCUCACCCCCCCACAGUCUGACGGUGAAGUUUCUGUCUUGUGUUUAAAGAAUAACUCCAAGCGCGUGGCUGAGUGUGAGCGAGCGUGUAGUGACGUUGGGAGGCGCCGUGGCUUAACCGAACCGCCCCACUCGGCCGUCCCUCGUCUGGACCAAAACUGCUGACUGGCUGACCCUGACGGUCACAUUUGCCCUCUGGGGUUUUAGAAAACCUUAAAUGAAAGUUGCUUUUCUCCCUGGCAACUCUCGAGGCUGCUUCCGCGGCCUCUGGGCUGUGGACAGAUAAGGACGUGAGUUUCCCUGACCAGCUCCUGUGGACACGCCAGCUUUAUACCUGAGCUCUGUGCAUUCUCUCCCCCCACUGCAAUAGCAGUUUCUCCUUGGCCCUUGGAGUGAGCACCCCAGAGGCAUUGGAAAGUGGCCAUUUAGAAGAUUUACCUCCAGUCAUCCCAUUCAGAUACAAAUACAGAAGGCAACUUCCUAAGGCUGAAGACAUAUAUUCAGGUAAAAUACACAGAUAACAGAAAGCUUUAAUUCCAGUGAAGUUCUGGCAGCAUUGACAUCAUGCAUCAUAACUUGGUAUGUAACAUUUUAAGUGAUCUUAGUCUAAAAGGCCUUGGGAAUGACA